UAUUGCACAAUGGGGGAAACCCUGAUGCAGCAACGCCGCGUGAGUGAAGAAGUAUUUCGGUAUGUAAAGCUCUAUCAGCAGGGAAGAAGAAAGACGGUACCUGACUAAGAAGCCUCGGCUAACUACGUUCCAGCAGCCGCGGUAAUACGUAGGGGGCAAGCGUUAUCCGGAUUUACUGGGUGUAAAGGGAGCGUAGGUGGCAGGGCAAGUCAGAUGUGAAAACCCGGGGCUCAACCCCGGGAGUGCAUUUGAAACUGUCCAGCUGGAGUGCAGGAGAGGUAAGCGGAAUUCCUGGUGUAGCGGUGAAAUGCGUAGAUAUCAGGAGGAACACCAGUGGCGAAGGCGGCUUACUGGACUGUAACUGACGUUGAGGCUCGAAAGCGUGGGGAGCAAACAGG
rnacentral:rRNA from 1 species